AGUCGAGCGGAUUAUAGAGCUUGCUCUAUAGUUAGCGGCGAACGGGUGAGUAAUGCCUAGGAAUCUGCCCAUUAGCGGGGGAUAACGUUCCGAAAGGAACGCUAAUACCGCAUACGCCCUACGGGGGAAAGCAGGGGAUCUUCGGACCUUGCACUAAUGGAUGAGCCUAGGUCAGAUUAGCUAGUUGGUGAGGUAAUGGCUCACCAAGGCGACGAUCUGUAGCGGGUCUGAGAGGAUGAUCCGCCACACUGGAACUGAGACACGGUCCAGACUCCUACGGGAGGCAGCAGUGGGGAAUAUUGGACAAUGGGCGCAAGCCUGAUCCAGCCAUACCGCGUGUGUGAAGAAGGCCUUUUGGUUGUAAAGCACUUUAAGCGAGGAGGAGGGCACUUUGGCUAAUACCCGAAUGUGUCGGACGUUACUCGCAGAAUAAGCACCGGCUAACUCUGUGCCAGCAGCCGCGGUAAUACAGAGGGUGCGAGCGUUAAUCGGAAUUACUGGGCGUAAAGCGCGCGUAGGCGGCUUGUUAAGUCGGAUGUGAAAUCCCCGGGCUCAACCUGGGCACUGCAUUCGAUACUGGCAAGCUAGAGUAUGGGAGAGGAAGGUAGAAUUCCAGGUGUAGCGGUGAA
rnacentral:rRNA from 1 species